AGAGCCUGAAUCAGCAUGUGUGUUAGUGGAAGCGUCUGGAAAGGCGCGCGAUACAGGGUGACAGCCCCGUACACAAAAGCGCAUGUGCUGUGAGCUCGAUGAGUAGGGCGGGACACGUGGUAUCCUGUCUGAAUAUGGGGGGACCAUCCUCCAAGGCUAAAUACUCCUGACUGACCGAUAGUGAACCAGUACCGUGAGGGAAAGGCGAAAAGAACCCCGGCGAGGGGAGUGAAAAAGAACCUGAAACCGUGUACGUACAAGCAGUGGGAGCACAGGUUUACCUGUGUGACUGCGUACCUUUUGUAUAAUGGGUCAGCGACUUAUAUUCUGUAGCAAGGUUAACCGUAUAGGGGAGCCGUAGGGAAACCGAGUCUUAACCGGGCGUUAAGUUGCAGGGUAUAGACCCGAAACCCGGUGAUCUAGCCAUGGGCAGGUUGAAGGUUGGGUAACACUAACUGGAGGACCGAACCGACUAAUGUUGAAAAAUUAGCGGAUGACCUGUGGCUGGGGGUGAAAGGCCAAUCAAACCGGGAGAUAGCUGGUUCUCCCCGAAAGCUAUUUAGGUAGCGCCUCGUGAAUUCAUCUCCGGGGGUAGAGCACUGUUUCGGCUAGGGGGCCAUCCCGGCUUACCAACCCGAUGCAAACUGCGAAUACCGGAGAAUGUUAUCACGGGAGACACACGGCGGGUGCUAACGUCCGUCGUGAAGAGGGAAACAACCCAGACCGCCAGCUAAGGUCCCAAAGUCAUGGUUAAGUGGGAAACGAUGUGGGAAGGCCCAGACAGCCAGGAUGUUGGCUUAGAAGCAGCCAUCAUUUAAAGAAAGCGUAAUAGCUCACUGGUCGAGUCGGCCUGCGCGGAAGAUGUAACGGGGCUAAACCAUGCACCGAAGCUGCGGCAGCGAACGUAUCACCCAAGACAACUUUACGGAGUUGACGAUUGACGGAGCGAAGCGACGUCAAAGCGUUCAUUAAAGUCGAGUUGGCUUAGGGAUACGUUCGUUGGGUAGGGGAGCGUUCUGUAAGCCUGUGAAGGUGUGUCGUGAGGCAUGCUGGAGGUAUCAGAAGUGCGAAUGCUGACAUAAGUAACGAUAAAGCGGGUGAAAAGCCCGCUCGCCGGAAGACCAAGGGUUCCUGUCCAACGUUAAUCGGGGCAGGGUGAGUCGACCCCUAAGGCGAGGCCGAAAGGCGUAGUCGAUGGGAAACGGGUUAAUAUUCCCGUACUUGGUGUUACUGCGAAGGGGGGACGGAGAAGGCUAUGUUGGCCGGGCGACGGUUGUCCCGGUUUAAGCGUGUAGGUGUGUGUUCCAGGUAAAUCCGGUUCACUUUAACACUGAGGCGUGACGACGAGGCACUACGGUGCUGAAGCAACAAAUGCCCUGCUUCCAGGAAAA
rnacentral:rRNA from 1 species